rnacentral:rRNA from 1 species
AUAAUUCGAUGAUACGCGAGGAACCUUACCAAGGCUUAAAUGGGAAUUGAUCGGUUUAGAAAUAGACCUUCCUUCGGGCAAUUUUCAAGGUGCUGCAUGGUUGUCGUCAGCUCGUGCCGUGAGGUGUUAGGUUAAGUCCUGCAACGAGCGCAACCCCUGUCACUAGUUGCUAGCAUUAAGUUGAGGACUCUAGUGAGACUGCCUACGCAAGUAGAGAGGAAGGUGGGGAUGACGUCAAAUCAUCACGGCCCUUACGCCUUGGGCCACACACGUAAUACAAUGGCCGGUACAGAGGGCAGCUACACAGCGAUGUGAUGCAAAUCUCGAAAGCCGGUCUCAGUUCGGAUUGGAGUCUGCAACUCGACUCUAUGAAGCUGGAAUCGCUAGUAAUCGCGCAUCAGCCAUGGCGCGGUGAAUACGUUCCCGGGCCUUGUACACACCGCCCGUCAAGCCAUGGAAGUCUGGGGUACCUGAAGUCGGGGACCGUAAAAGGAGCUGCCUAGGGUAAAACAGGUAACUAGGGCUAAGUCGUAACAA